GAUGAACGCUGGCGGCGUGCCUAAUACAUGCAAGUCGAGCGAACGGACGAGAAGCUUGCUUUUCUGAUGUUAGCGGCGGACGGGUGAGUAACACGUGGAUAACCUACCUAUAAGACUGGGAUAACUUCGGGAAACCGGAGCUAAUACCGGAUAAUAUUUUGAACCGCAUGGUUCAAAAGUGAAAGACGGUCUUGCUGUCACUUAUAGAUGGAUCCGCGCUGCAUUAGCUAGUUGGUAAGGUAACGGCUUACCAAGGCAACGAUGCAUAGCCGACCUGAGAGGGUGAUCGGCCACACUGGAACUGAGACACGGUCCAGACUCCUACGGGAGGCAGCAGUAGGGAAUCUUCCGCAAUGGGCGAAAGCCUGACGGAGCAACGCCGCGUGAGUGAUGAAGGUCUUCGGAUCGUAAAACUCUGUUAUUAGGGAAGAACAUAUGUGUAAGUAACUAUGCACGUCUUGACGGUACCUAAUCAGAAAGCCACGGCUAACUACGUG
rnacentral:rRNA from 1 species